GCGCGAGUGGUGAAAUGGCAGACACGCCAGACUUAGGAUCUGGUCCCGUAAGGGGUGGAGGUUCAAGUCCUCUCUCGCGCACCA
rnacentral:tRNA from 2 species